UACGUAGGGGGCAAGCGUUGUCCGGAAUCAUUGGGCGUAAAGAGCGUGUAGGCGGCUCGAUAAGUCUGCUGUGAAAGUCCAGGGCUCAACCCUGGAAGGCCGGUGGAAACUGUCGGGCUAGAGUCCGGAAGAGGCGAGUGGAAUUCCCAGUGUAGCGGUGAAAUGCGUAGAUAUUGGGAGGAACACCAGUGGCGAAGGCGGCUCACUGGACCGGUACUGACGCUGAGGCGCGAAAGCGUGGGGAGCAAACGGG
rnacentral:rRNA from 1 species